rnacentral:rRNA from 1 species
GAUGAACGCUAGCGGCAGGCUUAAUACAUGCAAGUCGUGGGGCAGCAUGAGUGUAGCAAUACAUUUGAUGGCGACCGGCAAACGGGUGCGGAACACGUACACAACCUUCCUUUAAGUGGGGAAUAGCCCAGAGAAAUUUGGAUUAAUACCCCGUAACAUAUAGAAGUGGCAUCACUUUUAUAUUAUAGCAGCAAUGCGCUUGAAGAUGGGUGUGCGGCUGAUUAGAUAGUUGGCGGGGUAACGGCCCACCAAGUCGACGAUCAGUAACUGGUGUGAGCACACGACCAGUCACACGGGCACUGAGACACGGGCCCGACUCCUACGGGAGGCAGCAGUAAGGAAUAUUGGUCAAUGGACGCAAGUCUGAACCAGCCAUGCCGCGUGGAGGAUGAAGGUCCUCUGGAUUGUAAACUUCUUUUAUCUGGGAAGAAAUCUACCUUUUCUUGGGUAGUUGACGGUACCAGAUGAAUAAGCACCGGCUAACUCCGUGCCAGCCGCCGCGGUAAGAC